UACCAAACAAUAGACGAGUAGAUUCUAAUAGAUGAU
rnacentral:guide_RNA from 1 species